CAAACUAAUUUAACAUAUAGACACAAUUUAUCAAGUAUCUGUUUUACUUAUUGGUCAUAAACAUUACAUAUUCACCAAUUCAUAUGCAUACAGUUUCGUUUUACUAAAAUGUGAUGGAUCAUUGAGCUCGCGAGCUGGCUCGUUAAAAAAAAUAAAAUAGGAUGUCAGUUCAGUUAAUGAAAAAAAUUAAACGAACCGAUCCAAGUCGAAUCGAGCCAGUCAUAAACCGAGCGAGCUGAUAAGCCAUGGGUAUCGUCCAACCCUCCGCCCAUCCCAGGCUCCCACCUAUGUCGCAUGCGUCGUGUGGCAAGUCGCAACUCGCAACUGCAUGGGUCACGUCCCCUGCUUCCUGCCAUGUGUAAUAGUAACAUAAUACAUAUUUCUCUAAUUUCUUUCCACUAGCAUAUAACUCAUGUUAACACUACGAUCCUGAAAAGAAGGAGAUGAGAUGGGUCGAUAGCAGCGAUGGGACACGCGGGAGGAGAGAGGGGAGGCUAGGAUGGUGGAGUCGCGUGUGAGGGAGAGGGAUAGUAGCGAUGAUAGAUGAUCUAAAUAAUAUAUCUUCUCUACUACUAUUCGACGAUUGUCCCGUGUCACGCGCCAAACACGUAGAUCUAUUUUCCUUCCCCUACCAUUGGGCCAUGAAAAACAUCUAAUCUCCCAUUAGUGUGCCGUUACUCCAUAUAGAGCUAUGAGAAACCAUAGGACAGGCUGCUCGCAGCGCAACACUCUUAUAUAACAUCACCCCGCUAGCUUUAAAGGACGACAAAGCGAUGGAAAGAGCUAUAAAAAGGGACAUACUUCUUUUCAACUCAUAUUUUCUAGACAUUUUGGCUAAGAUAAAGUGUAAUAUUUUGUUCUUUUGUGCCGACGCAUCGUAUGAGCAUUGUACUAGUUGUCCAUUGAAUUUGAAUGAAGCGAGAUGUUGUUACUCAGCUAUACGAACCGUUGGUUUUGAUGAUAUGUUAGUUUGAGUGCAUUUUUUUAAAUUUAGUAGAAAUUAUGAGUGUGAGGCUGAUUUGGUUGGGUGAGUUUUGCAAAGCUUAAACAAGUAGAUUAUAUAAUGAUAUAAAUUAAAGAUCAAAGCGAUAUAUAGUUUUAAUUUACUAAUAAAAAUAACUAACUUAUCUGCAAUACGUACUUUUAUUAAAUGAUAGAUUAGCUAUUUUAUAAACUAUCAAUAAAAGUUAGCUAUUUUUUAUAAACUAUCCAUAAAAAUUAACUAAUAUGAAUAUCUGGUGGCACCCCACUGCUACAGCCGGUUCGAUGACAUCUAUCGGAGCAAUCCGAUUCAACUAGAACCUCUUUAGUUUGGUUUCGAACAAUGUUGGACUCAGAGGCAAUGGUUCGAUGACCCUAUUUCUAGGGUUCGACGAUCAUAUCUGCUUUUACCAUUUCAUAGGCGGAUCAUACUCAAUGGUCUAACUACCUUAUUCUUUAGGGUAUGAUGCAUUCAAACGCUACCAAAACCACUUUUAAUUCAAUAAUUUUGUGAGUAGGGUUUGUCCUAAAUAACUUUUGGGUCUCGUUUAAGCUAUCUAGUGCUAAAACUUAACCAGAUCAAGCUAUUGUAUAUUGGGCAUACGACGGCUGACAAUGAACGAGAUGGCAAAGGGACGUUGAGAUUUUUGAUCAUUUAUGACUCUGAACAGGUGACUUCGACGAUGCAACUUUAGUCAAAACAACGCAAAUAACGUUGUGUUGUUUGAUUCUUUUAGACUUUGUUCACUUAAAACUUAAAUUUCACCAGUUUAUAUAAAUUUAAAAGCUGGCUUGUGAGUAUUAUGAUCAUGACCGGUGAGUCGAAAUCUUUUAAAUUUCUAUAAGAUAAUAAAUUUAAAUUUUAAAGGGUCAAAGUCUAUUUUUUAAAGAGCACAGCAUUAUUUACACUGCUUCGACAAAGUUGAAGUUAGCUACGUUAUUUCCUUAUAAAGCCACAUAUUUCGAGUCUUAGAUUAUAAAAAAUCUUCCGAAAUGUUUGAUACUCCCCCGAACUGAAUUUUCCUCGCAAUUGUUUCAAUUUAGUCCCACUUGUUAGGAUUUACACAUAACCCGCUAUCUUUUUUUAGAAAAUACGGAACCCGGUCUGUUCGUUAAAUUAAACGGGAUUAAGUGAAUUUAAAUUAAUAUCAAGUCAUUUUUCUCUAAUUUCUGAGUCCUAACCGGAAAAAUCAUUAUGACGGGCCUUGAGGGCCAAUAGCCGCAGUCACACCGAGACACCGAGUAUCCGUAAAAUGUGCAUGAAAGGCCCACUAACCGCUCUCUGCUCGCCUCUCCCAGCCUGAAGGCGCAUAUCCAAACCCUACCCGGCGCCCCAGCUAUAAAUUCCUCCGCUCCCCUUCGCCGCUUCCUGUCGCGCCGCCGCUCCCCUCCCAACCCACUAGCUCAAAACCCUAGAGCUCUCGCCUGCUCGCCUCCGCCGCCGGAGCGAGCUCCCCAUCUUCAUCCGUCAACCAUGGCGACCCAGAUCAGCAAGAAGAAGAAGGUACGCGAGCGCUUCCUAACCGCAGUGCUCCCCUCCCCCCCGUGCGUCGAUGGAUCUGACCUCGGUGCUCGGUUUUGUAGUUCGUCAGCGACGGUGUUUUCUACGCCGAGCUCAAUGAGAUGCUGACGCGGGAGCUGGCGGAGGACGGCUACUCUGGCGUGGAGGUGCGCGUCACGCCGAUGCGCACGGAGAUCAUCAUCCGCGCCACGCGCACGCAGAACGUGCUCGGCGAGAAGGGCCGUAGGAUCAGGGAGCUCACCUCCGUCGUCCAGAAGAGGUUCAACUUCCCUGAGAAUGGCGUUGAGCUUUAUGCCGAGAAGGUCGUC
rnacentral:lncRNA from 1 species